rnacentral:rRNA from 1 species
CAGGCUUAACACAUGCAAGUCGAGGGGCAGCAUGGUCUUAGCUUGCUAAGGCCGAUGGCGACCGGCGCACGGGUGAGUAACGCGUAUCCAACCUGCCUUACACUCUUGGACAGCCUUCUGAAAGGGAGAUUAAUACAAGAUGUUAUCAUGAGUAAGCAUUUUCGCAUGAUUAAAGGUUUACCGGUGUAAGAUGGGGAUGCGUUCCAUUAGAUAGUAGGCGGGGUAACGGCCCACCUAGUCUUCGAUGGAUAGGGGUUCUGAGAGGAAGGUCCCCCACAUUGGAACUGAGACACGGUCCAAACUCCUACGGGAGGCAGCAGUGAGGAAUAUUGGUCAAUGGACGAGAGUCUGAACCAGCCAAGUAGCGUGAAGGAUGAAGGUUCUAUGGAUUGUAAACUUCUUUUAUACGGGAAUAAACGAAUCCACGCGUGGAUUUUUGUAUGUACCGUAUGAAUAAGGAUCGGCUAACUCCGUGCCAGCAGCCGCGGUAAUACGGAGGAUCCGAGCGUUAUCCGGAUUUAUUGGGUUUAAAGGGAGCGUAGAUGGGUUGUUAAGUCAGUUGUGAAAGUUUGCGGCUCAACCGUAAAAUUGCAAUUGAUACUGGCAGUCUUGAGUACAGUUGAGGUAGGCGGAAUUCGUGGUGUAGCGGUGAAAUGCUUAGAUAUCACGAAGAACUCCGAUUGCGAAGGCAGCUUACUAACCUGUAACUGACAUUGAUGCUCGAAAGUGUGGGUAUCAAACAGGAUUAGAUACCCUGGUAGUCCACACGGUAAACGAUGAAUACUCGCUGUAGGCGAUAUACAGUCUGCGGCCAAGCGAAAGCAUUAAGUAUUCCACCUGGGGAGUACGCCGGCAACGGUGAAACUCAAAGGAAUUGACGGGGGCCCGCACAAGCGGAGGAACAUGUGGUUUAAUUCGAUGAUACGCGAGGAACCUUACCCGGGCUUAAAUUGCAACCGAAUAUGGCGGAAACGCUAUAGCUAGCAAUAGCGGUUGUGAAGGUGCUGCAUGGUUGUCGUCAGCUCGUGCCGUGAGGUGUCGGCUUAAGUGCCAUAACGAGCGCAACCCUUGCCGAUAGUUACUAACAGGUCAUGCUGAGGACUCUGUCGGGACUGCCAUCGUAAGAUGUGAGGAAGGUGGGGAUGACGUCAAAUCAGCACGGCCCUUACGUCCGGGGCUACACACGUGUUACAAUGGGGGGUACAGAGGGCUGCUACCACGCAAGUGGAUGCCAAUCCCAAAAACCUCUCUCAGUUCGGAUUGAAGUCUGCAACCCGACUUCAUGAAGCUGGAUUCGCUAGUAAUCGCGCAUCAGCCACGGCGCGGUGAAUACGUUCCCGGGCCUUGUACACACCGCCCGUCAAGCCAUGGGAGCCGGGGGUACCUGAAGUGCGUAACCGCAAGGAGCGCCCUAGGGUAAAACUGGUGACUGGGGC